rnacentral:rRNA from 1 species
GAUGAACGCUGGCGGCGUGCCUAAUACAUGCAAGUAGAACGCUGAAGGAGGAGCUUGCUCUUCUGGAUGAGUUGCGAACGGGUGAGUAACGCGUAGGUAACCUGCCUGGUAGCGGGGGAUAACUAUUGGAAACGAUAGCUAAUACCGCAUGACAACAGUUAUUGCAUGAUAACUGUUUAAAAGUGGCAACUGCUCCACUACCAGAUGGACCUGCGUUGUAUUAGCUAGUUGGUGAGGUAACGGCUCACCAAGGCGACGAUACAUAGCCGACCUGAGAGGGUGAGCGGCCACACUGGGACGGAGACACGGCCCAGAGGCCUACGGGAGGCAGCAGGAGGGAAUCGUCGGCAAUGGACGGAAGUCUGACCGAGCAACGCCGCGUGAGUGAAGAAGGUUGUCGGAUCGGAAAGCUCUGUUGUAAGAGAAGAACGAGUGUGAGAGUGGAAAGUUCACACUGUGACGGUAUCUGACCAGAAAGGGACGGCUAACUACGUG